GGAGCAGUCAUGUGUGAGAGCUAUUGCCAACUCUAAUUAAGCACAGAUAUAAUAUAUAUAUACAUAUAUAUAUAUUUACACUGAGAUCAAGUCAAGAUUCCAAACAUUCACCCAGGGUGCUAGGAGCUUCACAGAAGACAACCCAGGAUGGAGCUGCAUGGAACUCUGGCAAAGACUGUCAAGGUCAAAGCAAUGGCACCUUAAUUCAACUUCAGCAUCCCUCAGUGUAAAUGUGACCUUGGAACAGUUACACUCCCAAAGCCAUUUGUUGGUUCAAAUUCUGAUAGGGUCCAACUCAGGCUGAUUGCAGUGUCCUGCUGAACUGUCUCUCCAGAUUGGUCGGAGCCCCUAAGUGCAGUCAUGAUGGGAAACCAGAAUGGAAAUCACUCUCAGACCCUGGAUUCUGACAGCCUGUUCCCUUCAGAGAUGAAUGAAGGAGACAGAGCCCCAGAGCCGAUGCAGCAAGAUCCCUGGUUUCGGGCUCAGGAAGUUCUCAUAGGAAGACAUCACCUCCGUGCCCCAGUUUGAACCAUGGACCAAGAAGCUCCCACAAUCCAGCCACUUAGUUUAUGACCCUGAUUUCCAAAUGUCUGACUGGACCCCCAAAGAGACAGACGACUGGAUGAGGUUGACUCUUGCUUCGUUGGUAGUGUGGUCAAUUCGGACCUGCAGAUUUUCUCCACAAAGGAGGAGCAACACAUUGCUGGCAUAGUGGCCGCAGUUGCCCCAUGUCAUCAUCCCAUGGGACCAGAAAAACCCAAACCC